GAUGAACGCUAGCGGCAGGCUUAAUACAUGCAAGUCGAGGGGUAACAGGGGUAGCAAUACCUGCUGACGACCGGCAAACGGGUGCGGAACACGUACGCAACCUUCCCAAAACUGGUGAAUAGCCCUCCGAAAGGAGGAUUAAUACACCGUAACAUAAUGAAGUGGCAUCACUUUAUUAUUAUAGCUCCGGCGGUUUUGGAUGGGCGUGCGCCUGAUUAGGUAGUUGGCGGGGUAACGGCCCACCAAGCCUGCGAUCAGUAACUGGUGUGAGAGCACGACCAGUCACACGGGCACUGAGACACGGGCCCGACUCCUACGGGAGGCAGCAGUAAGGAAUAUUGGUCAAUGGACGGAAGUCUGAACCAGCCAUGCCGCGUGAAGGAUGAAGGUCCUCUGGAUUGUAAACUUCUUUUAUCUGGGACGAAAAAAGGAAAUUCUUUUCCACUUGACGGUACCAGAGGAAUAAGCACCGGCUAACUCCGUGCCAGCAGCCGCGGUAAUACGGAGGGUGCAAGCGUUAUCCGGAUUUACUGGGUUUAAAGGGUGCGUAGGUGGGCAGUUAAGUCAGUGGGGAAAUCUCCGAGCUUAACUCGGAAACUGCCAUUGAUACUAUCUGUCUUGAAUAUCCUGGAGGUGAGCGGAAUAUGUCAUGUAGCGGUGAAAUGCUUAGAUAUGACAUAGAACACCAAUUGCGAAGGCAGCUCACUACGGGAUUAUUGACACUGAGGCACGAAAGCGUGGGG
rnacentral:rRNA from 1 species